AGGCUGAAAUAGAAAAGGUUAAGAAAAGAAGAGAAGAGCUAUUGAAAAGGCACGACAUGAAGAGGAAAUGACAUUGCUAGCUAGAGAAAGAGCACGUGCCGAGUUUCAAGACUGAGAGAAGAAAGAGGAAGAGUUUCAUUUUGACCAAAGCAAGGUCAGGUCUGAGAUCAGGUUGCGGGAGGGGCGUACAAAGCCUAUUGAUGUUCUCCUUAAGAAUCAUUUGCUCAUCCUUAUCUAAGUGGAUUAACAGUGAAAGAAAUGGAAGAGCUACGUGAUGACAUUAAGAUGCAUCUUGAUCUGGACAGGGAAGCCAAACAAAUGUUAAGUACUAGGAGGCACUCAUGGUGGUAUGCGAAUGGGAGUUAGGCGAGGCUCGGAAAAGAGAUGCCCUAGAUCGAGCUAGGGUCCAUGGUGAGGAACCACCACCUGAGGUUCUUGCAGAAGAGAGAGGUUUGCAUGCAAGUAUUGAGGGGGAUGUAAAAAGUCUCCUGGAUGGUAAAACUUCCACAGAGCUUGAAGAUAUGCAUGGUCAAAUUGAGUCCCAAAUGAGCUCUGGCACUGCAAAAGUUGUUGAGUACUGGGAGGCUAUUCUGAAACGGCUUCAUAUUUACAAAGCAAAGGCUUUCUGUGACUUUGAUUCGGUGAUCUCUGUUAGUACUUCAGCACUCAGGGAAGUUCUCUAAGGCAGGCAGUUGAACUUUGGCAGAAACUUGGUUGCUCCAGAUGGAUGUGGAGCCAGGACUCGUGUUGAAGCUUCUGCUUGAUGGACGGCUGAAGCUUGUGUUGGCCUUGACAUUAUUGAAUUCUCGUGCCUCUUUACAAGUAGAGUCUGUAUCUUUUUGUUCCC